CGGAGCGACGCCGCGUGCGGGAUGAAGGUCUUAGGAUUGUAAACCGCUGUCACAGGUUAUGAAACCGGUACAUUGAAUAGGUGUGCCGCUGACGUAAGCCUGAAAGGAAGCACCGGCUAACUCUGUGCCAGCAGCCGCGGUAAUACAGAGGGUGCAAACGUUGUUCGGAAUCACUGGGCAUAAAGCGCACGUAGGCGGUUAUGUAAGUGUGGAGUGAAAGCCCACGGCUCACCCGUGGAAUUGCUCUGCAGACUGCAUGACUCGAGGAUGGUAGGGGAGAGCGGAACUCCUGGUGGAGCGGUGAAAUGCGUAGAUAUCAGGAGGAACACCGGUGGCGAAGGCGGCUCUCUGGUCCAUUUCUGACGCUGAGGUGCGAAAGCUAGGGUAGCGAACGGGAUUAGAUACCCCGGUAGUCCUAGCCGUAAACGAUGGAUACUAGCUUAAGGGUACCUGCGUAUUCUUAGGUGAAGCAAAUGUGUUAAGUAUCCCGCCUGGGGAGUAUGGUCGCAAGGCUGAAACUCAAAGGAAUUGACGGGGCCUUCACACAAAAAA
rnacentral:rRNA from 1 species